UUGAACGCUGGCGGCAUGCUUUACACAUGCAAGUCGAGCGGCAGCGCGAGGGCAACCUUGGCGGCGAGCGGCGAACGGGUGAGUAACACAUCGGAACGUAUCCCGUAGUGGGGGAUAACCCGGCGAAAGCCGGGCUAAUACCGCAUAUGCUCUACGGAGGAAAGUGGGGGACUCGCAAGGGCCUCACGUUAUGGGAGCGGCCGAUGUCCGAUUAGCUAGUUGGUGGGGUAAAGGCCUACCAAGGCGACGAUCGGUAGCUGGUCUGAGAGGAUGAUCAGCCACACUGGGACUGAGACACGGCCCAGACUCCUACGGGAGGCAGCAGUGGGGAAUUUUGGACAAUGGGGGCAACCCUGAUCCAGCCAUGCCGCGUGCGGGAAGAAGGCCUUCGGGUUGUAAACCGCUUUUAGUCGGGAAGAAAGGGUUUCCUUGAAUACGGGAGAUUCUUGACGGUACCGGCGGAAUAAGCACCGGCUAACUACGUGCCAGCAGCCGCGGUAAUACGUAGGGUGCGAGCGUUAAUCGGAAUUACUGGGCGUAAAGCGUGCGCAGGCGGUUCUCCAAGUCCGUUGUGAAAGCCCCGGGCUCAACCUGGGAAUGGCAGUGGAAACUAGGGGACUGGAAUCUGGCAGAGGGGGGUGGAAUGCCGCGUGUAGCAGUGAAAUGCGUAGAUAUGUGGAGGAAUACCGAUGGCGAAGGCAGCCCCCUGGGAUAAUACUGACGCUCAGACACGAAAGC
rnacentral:rRNA from 1 species